CCCAAUCACCGCACAGAGCGGGAACGACUGGCCAAUCGGAGCACAGUACUGCGGGGUGCGCGCCCGCCCCUCUCGGCGGCGCGCUGAGGGCCGGGCACGCUGAGGGCUCGGCACGGUGGGCUCCAGAGCGCUCGUGUCCUGCGAGCUGCUGCCUGCCCGGGGAAAACGCCCCCAGACAGCCGCAGGCGUUGCUGAGGGCUGCUGUCCACAUGCACCCGAGCUGUGUGGGCCCGGCCGGCGCCCCACAGGCGCCUACGACAGCAGCGUCACCAACACCAAUAAUGGCCGUUAACGGGCCUCAGCUUCCAGUGCUCUCUAGAUACUGUCAUGUAAAACUCACAAAGAUAAUUGCAUUUACGCUCGUGCAGGGUGGAGAGCAGGAGAAUUGGCAGAACCAUCCCGAGUAAUCCACCUUCCUCCGCCUGGUCUCAUUCAGCACACCCUUAGGCAGAUCCCCCUCGCACUGAGGCAGGAAUUUGCAUAAAGGAGCAUACACUUCAUUAUACAGUAAACAUGAAUAUUAGCAAACUUGUGCAUCCUUCUGCCUUGUAUUCGCAUGUUUUAUUCAGAAGUGCUGGGGUUUCUUAUGUUUAAAGUGAAAGUUUUUUUCAGAAAAGCUUUGAGCACAAUGAACCAGCCUCCCAGGGCUAUUUUUGGCAUUUUUGGCAUUUUGAAACAGCAAUAUUGUCUAGAGACUUUCAUAGCCUUUUGAGCAUUUUGGAAACAAUUAAACACAUAUUUCUUGGCCU